UUCGCCCUUAGAGUUUGAUCCUGGCUCAGAACGAACGCUGGCGGCAGGCUUAACACAUGCAAGUCGAACGCCCCUUUCGGGGGGAGUGGCAGACGGGUGAGUAACACGUGGGAACGUACCUCUUUGUUCGGAAUAACUCAUGGAAACGUGAGCUAAUACCGGAUACGCCCUUUUGGGGAAAGAUUUAUCGCAGAGAGAUCGGCCCGCGUCUGAUUAGCUAGUUGGUGAGGUAAUGGCUCACCAAGGCGACGAUCAGUAGCUGGUCUGAGAGGAUGAUCAGCCACACUGGGACUGAGACACGGCCCAGACUCCUACGGGAGGCAGCAGUGGGGAAUAUUGGACAAUGGGGGCAACCCUGAUCCAGCCAUGCCGCGUGAGUGAUGAAGGCCUUAGGGUUGUAAAGCUCUUUUAUCCGGGAAGAUAAUGACUGUACCGGAAGAAUAAGCCCCGGCUAACUUCGUGCCAGCAGCCGCGGUAAUACGAAGGGGGCUAGCGUUGUUCGGAAUCACUGGGCGUAAAGGGCGCGUAGGCGGACGAUUAAGUCAGGGGUGAAAUCCCGGGGCUCAACCUCGGAAUUGCCCUUGAUACUGGUUGUCUUGAGAUUGGAAGAGGUAAGUGGAAUUGCGAGUGUAGAGGUGAAAUUCGUAGAUAUUCGCAAGAACACCGGUGGCGAAGGCGACUUACUGGUCCAUAUCUGACGCUGAGGCGCGAAAGCGUGGGGAGCAAACAGGAUUAGAUACCCUGGUAGUCCACGCCGUAAAC
rnacentral:rRNA from 1 species